rnacentral:rRNA from 1 species
CCUACGUGUGGCAGCAGUAGGGAAUAUUCCACAAUGGGGGAAACCCUGAUGCAGCGACGCCGCGUGAGCGAGGAAGUAUUUCGGUCUGUAAAGCUCUAUCAUCAGGGACGAAAAAAGACGGUACCAGAUGACGAAGCCCUGGCGAACCAUGUGCCAGCAGCCGCGGCAAUAUGUAGGGGGGAAGCGUUAUUCGGACUUACUGGGUGUACAGGGUGCGUAGGCGGGAAGGCAAGCCAGAAGGGAAAGGGCAGGGCUCAACCCUGUACAUGCAUUAGGAACUGUGGUGCUAGAGUGCAGGAGAGGUAAGUGGAAUUCCUAGUGUAGCGGUGAAAUGCGUAGAUAUUAGGAGGAACACCAGUGGCGAAGGCGGCUAUCUGGACUGUAACUGACGUUGAGGCUCGAAAGCGUGGGGAGCAAACAGGAUUAGAUACCCUUGUAGUC